AGUGAACGCUGGCGGUAGGCCUAACACAUGCAAGUCGAACGGCAGCACAGUAAGAGCUUGCUCUUACGGGUGGCGAGUGGCGGACGGGUGAGGAAUACAUCGGAAUCUACUUUUUCGUGGGGGAUAACGUAGGGAAACUUACGCUAAUACCGCAUACGACCUACGGGUGAAAGCAGGGGAUCUUCGGACCUUGCGCGAUUGAAUGAGCCGAUGUCGGAUUAGCCAGUUGGCGGGGUAAAGGCCCACCAAGGCGACGAUCCGUAGCUGGUCUGAGAGGAUGAUCAGCCACACUGGAACUGAGACACGGUCCAGACUCCUACGGGAGGCAGCAGUGGGGAAUAUUGGACAAUGGGCGCAAGCCUGAUCCAGCCAUACCGCGUGGGUGAAGAAGGCCUUCGGGUUGUAAAGCCCUUUUGUUGGGAAAGAAAAGCAGCAGGUUAAUACCCCGCUGCUCUGACGGUACCCAAAGAAUAAGCACCGGCUAACUUCGUG
rnacentral:rRNA from 1 species